rnacentral:rRNA from 1 species
ACUCCUACGGGAGGCAGCAGUGGGGAAUAUUGCACAAUGGGCGCAAGCCUGAUGCAGCCAUGCCGCGUGUAUGAAGAAGGCCUUCGGGUUGUAAAGUACUUUCAGCAGUGAGGAAGGCGGGUACGUUAAUAGCGUGCUCGUUUGACGUUAGCAGCAGAAGAAGACAACCGGCUAACCGUCCGUAGCCAGCCAGCCGCGGGUAAUACGGAGGGUGCGAGCGUUAAUCGGAAUUACUGGGCGUAAAGCGCAUGCAGGUGGUUUGUUAAGUCAGAUGUGAAAGCCCGGGGCUCAACCUCGGAAUAGCAUUUGAAACUGGCAGACUAGAGUACUGUAGAGGGGGUAGAAUUUCAGGUGUAGCGGUGAAAUGCGUAGAGAUCUGAAGGAAUACCGGUGGCGAAGGCGGCCCCCUGGACAGAUACUGACACUCAGAUGCGAAAGCGUGGGGAGCAAACAGGAUUAGAUACCCUGGCUAGCUACG